ensembl:lncRNA novel transcript
GGUUUUCCGGCACAGACCUUGGAGGGCAGCGUGGAAACUGGGUAACUGCAAGCAAGCUGAGGUAAGCUGCACGUUCCGCAUGGACGCCCUCAAGCGUGAUUCCCAAUUCCAAGACCCCGCGUCCCCACCGCCCGCUGACGAGAACGAUACCCGUGAGCACCGCUCCUCUCCAGUGGCCCGUUCAGUCACUCACAAGCGCCAGUUCUCAGAGGAGCCGCGGAAUCGCUGUCUUGGACAGUGAAGGGAGCUGGCGUUGGUAAUCACGCUGCAACUAGGAAUCCCUGACCUCGCCGAACCCUCAACUCACUGCCGGCUCCGAGUUUCAUAAAUUGCCGCGGAACAACCUCGACGCACUCUUGCGCACGCGCACCAGCUGUGGAAGGAACCCCCUAGGAGCCCCCGCGACCCGGAUCGGUGAGGUAGACCAGGCCUUUGCCAGCCCCGUCCCUUUCUGCAGGCCCCGUCCCUUUCUGCAGGCCCCGCCCACGCCGCACACUUGGAACUCUGGCCCUGUGAAUGGACUCACGUGGCAAUGGAUGCAGCAAUAUUCAGUUUCCAGAAUCAGCAGCUCCGGCAGCAGUGUCCUGUGCUGAUGGUGUUGGCAGAUAUGCCUGCUUCCUCUUCCACCAUGAUUGCAAGUUUCCUGAGGCCUCUCCAGCCAUGUGGAACUAGAUGGAGUGUCACUAUGUUGCCCAGGCUGGUCUCAAACUCAUAGCCUCAAGCAAUCCUUCCACCAAGGCCUCCCGAAGUGUUGAGAUUACAGGUGUGAGCCACCGCACCCAGCCUAAAAAUACUGUUUAAAGAAACUAAAAAUGCAUAGUAUAAGGGGAAAGAAAAAAGUUCAGUAUGACUAUAAUUGAAUGAAUAAGUGAAUGAUAAAAAUUGAAGUUGGAAAGAUAAGCUAAAACUUGACUAUAAGGAUUCUUGUAUGACACACUAAAAACAUUAGUUUUAUUCUGAUCAUGAGAGUGAAUCAAGAGUUUUUAAGCAUGAGAAUGACAGAUCAUCAUACGUGUGUUCAGAAAAAACUCCGGGGAUGCUAAAGAGUAUGAAUUGGAAUGAGUUGUAUGUGUAAGUCUGCAGCAGGCUGGGAGAUAGGAAGACCAAUUAGUGUAACCGUGAAACCAGACCAAUCUGGUUCAACUUUUAUGUAACAAAGGAAUGAGUCAUUUUUCAGUUGCCAUAGACCCUAGGUUGCAAGUUAGGUAAUUUGAGCAUGCCCAGAUGAACGAAGUACACAAUCGUGAGUGGAACCUAAUGGCUUAGUCCAAGAAACAGGGACGGAAUUAACAAGCAGACAACACAUGAUCCAAUCAGAUUGAGCCCUGACAUCAUCCCGUGGCAUAAUCCAGUCAGAUCACGCCUCCCAGCAUUACCUCAUUCACACCUCAUUACUCUGUCUAUGAAACCUGCCCCAGUCCCCAGCUCAGGGAGACAGAUUUGAGCAUUUCCUUCUGUUUCCUUGCCAGUUGACUUGCAAUAAAGCUGUUUUUCUCAAAAGCUAGUGACAUGGUACUGGCUUCUAUGCUCUUUGGGCAGUGAGCCCUUGCUCAGUAACAUUAGGAGGCUCCAAUAUUAAUCCUGGUGGGAGAUAUAAGAUAUGAGUCAAUGCCGAAGUUUCAUCUCUGCAGGAGUGAUGUGUUGGAACCCCGUGAAUGGACAGGAUGUCUAGGGGACAGUAUACAGGGAGGAGAGAAGAGGGCCAAUGAAUUAACUCCAAGGACAAAUACAAUUUUAAAAGACUUGGAAAAUAACACAAAGAAUCUGUACUUGGACACAUGGAGGAAUACCGAGAGAAUCUGUGGUUAUAGAAGGCAAGAUUAUAAAAAGUUUCAAGAGCUAAAUUCCAUUUACAAAAGCAUCCAAGAGAACUUAAAGAGCAUUCGAUUUCUUCAAGAAUAUCUUUAGAUCAAUAGCUGUUCUGAACCUUGGAUCACUUGACUCUGUUGUCACUUCUUCCCACCAAAGACCUGGUCCCUCUGGAUGUCCUUCUCCAGAAUCAUAGUCUCAGAGCUGGAAGGGACCCUGGAGACAUCAGAGUACAAGCCUAAGAGUCUCUGCUAAGUUCUUUCUCCCUCUAACACAGCUACGCCUGGGCUGAGCUCUGUUAUCACUGACUUCUGUCUUCAGUCUCCUUUACCCCUAGAGAUGCUGACUAACCACUCUAUUAAUGAGCAGUCACAGGCUGUGACCUCAUUAAAAAGUAGCUAAUGAGGCACUUUGUUGUUCAGGAAGCAGUCUACCGAGGUUCCCAGUGGCCUAUCUUGGGGCGUGGAGGGAAAGCUUAGGUGAAUAGAAGGGAUCAGGUCUGGGGGAGAGGGCUAAUGAUUGAGGCUGCAGAGCCAUAGCUUCAAAUAAACUCAUCUUGGCAAGCAGCCACCUUUGAAGCUCAAGUCCCUGCUGGCCUGCAGGUAGACAGGAGUAGAUGUGGUUCAGAGUGGCAGCGAUUUCCCUCUGAGCUGUCAGCUCUGCCUAAUGCCUGCUCUCUUGACCCAUUUUGAUGGAGAGCUUUAACAUUUGAAAUCAAGAGGUGGUUUUGUGUUGCUGUGAGUUUGUGAAUUAUGAACAAUUGUAUAAGCCUUUUGAUUGGUCUCUAUCUCGCAGGCUGUGUCUUCUUGCAAUUCAUUCUAUAUAUAGAAGGGCCUUGUAUGCUGAAGACUGUGUGUGUGUGUGUGUGUGUGUGUGUGUGUGUGUGUGUGUGUGUGUAUUUGAGACAGGGUCUUGGUCUGUCUCCCAAGCUGGAGAGUACAUCAUCUUGCACUCCAGAUGCAUCAGUGGCAUCAUCUUGGCUUACUGCAGCCUGGACCGCCAGGACUCAAGUGAUCCUCCCACCUCAGCCUCCUGAGUAACUAGGACUAUAGGCACGUGCCAUCACACCCAGUUAAUUUUUGUAUUGUUUUAUAGAGACAGGGUUUCAUCAUGUUUCCCAAGCUAGUCUUGAAUUCUGGAGUUCAAGGGAUCCUCCUGCCUCCUGCUCAAUCCCAAAGUGCUAGGACUACAGGCAUGAGCCACUGCACCCAAUCCCUUCAAUAUUUUUUUCCUUUCUACCCUUCCACCCUCAUCUCCCAUGUUAUCAAUUUCAUCAUUAUUACUACUCUUAUCACCAUCACCUUCAUGGGUAUCAUCAUAAUUAAUAUUUGUAUAGUGCUCAAAUGUUCCUCAGUGUAUUUAAACCUCACAACAAUGCCAUCAAAUAGGUGCUGUGGCUAAUCCUCAUUUAAUAGAAUAACGCUGAGGCAGAUAUGUCAUGUAGCUUGACCUAUGUCUUAUAGCUACUCAGAGAAACAGGAUUACAUCCCAGGCGUUUGGUUCUAGAGUGUAUGCUCUUACCUAUGAUGUUGUACAUCAUGAAGAUUUAGGCUUCUGUGCUUUUUGCACUCACUACUGGCUUGUCAUGGAAUGCUCAUCUCACAGGCACCCUCAAAUCAUGGCUCCCAUUCCUUCUUACACUUCUUAAUUUGCUACUUCUGAUCAUUUGACACUAGGACCUGGGAUCCUAAUGUCCAAGGAACAUGUCCAUCUCCCCACUGAACUGAGACUUCUUGCACAUCAAGUAUUUAGUUGGGUUCAGUAACUUAUAGUGGUAUUACUGAAUAUUUUAGUAUAUAUUAUACUUGUUUAAAUAUACAAUACUAUAUCCUCUUUGGGAAACUGGAAACUGCUCUUGCCCUUUCUAUUGCUGUCAUGUCCCUGCUCAUCCUCCCAUUUUUUCCUAUCUCAAUAAACUUCUACCAAACUGGUUGCUUAUGCCAGAAAUAUGGGUGUAGUCUUUGACACCAGUCUAACACUAAACUAUCAGAAGCUCUCACCUAGACUACUGCCAUAGUGUCCUACACUAAUCUCUUUAUACUCUUGCCACUUGCAAUAAAUUAUCUACCCAGUAGACAUAUUUAUCUUUAAAAAUACCACUCUUUGCUCAAAAUGCUUCAUAACUGUCCAUUUCAUUAGACUAAGAUCUAAAAUCUAUAAGAUGGUCCAAAAAAUUCUCAUUUAUCUGACCUCUUUUACCUAUACAACUAAUUUUACCUGUUUCAUUCUUAUUCACAAAAUUUCAAAUAGGUUUUUUUCUGUUUUGGAAUCAGGAUAAUAUUAGCCUCACAGAGUGAAUUGGGAAGUGUUCUCUCUUUAAUUUUUUGGAACAGUUUAUAAAAAAUUGGUGUUAAUUCAUCUUAAAAGUAUGUUAGAAUUCACUAGUGAAGCCAUCUAGCCCUGGGCUUUUGUUUGUGGGAGGAUUUUUUAUUAUUAAUUCUACCACUUUAGUUGUUACAGGUCUAUUGAGAUUUUAUUUCUUUUUAGUCAGUUUGGUUUUGUGUCUUUUAGGAAAUUUGCAUUUUAUCUAGGUUCUCUAGUUUGUUGACAUGCAGUUGUCCAUAGCAUCCCUUAUAAUCCGUUUCAUUUUGGUAAAGUUGGUUAUAAUGUCCCCCGCCCCUUUCAUUUCUGAUUUUAGUAAUUUGAAUCUUUUUUUCUUUUUGGCUUGAUCAUUGUAGCUAAUAGUUGGUCAAUUUUGUGAGUGUUUUCCAAGAACCAACUUUUGAUUACAUUUUCUCUAUUAUUUUCUAUUCUAUAUUUAAUUAAUUUUUGCUGUGAUUUUAAAAAUCAUUAUAUAAAAAUGUUUAUUAGUUUAUUCCUUCUGCUCACUCUGUGUUCAGUUUGCUGUUCUAUUUCUAAUUUCUGAAGAUGGAAUCUUAGGAUAUUUAUUUGAAAUAUUUCCUUUUAAUUUUUAAAAUGUUGGUGUAAAAUGACCUUUCAUAGUUGUAUAUAUUCCUGGGGUACAAACUGAUGUUAUAAUUUAUUACAAUAUAGAAUAAUUAAAUCGAGUGAAU